AGAGACAGCAGUAGCCGCGGUAAUACAGAGGGUGCGAGCGUUAAUCGGAUUUACUGGGCGUAAAGCGUGCGUAGGCGGCUUCUUAAGUCGGAUGUGAAAUCCCUGAGCUUAACUUAGGAAUUGCAUUCGAUACUGGGAAGCUAGAGUAUGGGAGAGGAUGGUAGAAUUCCAGGUGUAGCGGUGUAAUGCGUAGAGAUCUGGAGGAAUACCGAUGGCGAAGGCAGCCAUCUGGCCUAAUACUGACGCUGAGGUACGAAAGCAUGGGGAGCAAACAGGAUUAGAGACCCGUGUAGUCCCUGUCUCUUAUAC
rnacentral:rRNA from 1 species